rfam:Gossypium hirsutum cultivar TM-1 chromosome 9, whole genome shotgun sequence
GCUGGAAUAGCUCAGUUGGCUAGAGCGUGUGGCUGUUAACCACAAGGUUGGAGGUUUAAGCCCUCCUUCUAGCA